rnacentral:tRNA from 5 species
AGGGACGUCGCCAAGUUGGUUAAGGCACGGGGUUUUGAUCCCCGCAUUCGCAGGUUCGAGUCCUGCCGUCCCUGCCA